AGAGUUUGAUCCUGGCUCAGCGCGAACGCUGGCGGCAUGCCUAACACAUGCAAGUCGAACGGAAAAAGGGGCAACUCACUUUCAGUGGCAAACGGGUGAGUAACGCGUGAAUAACCUGCCUUUGAGAAGGGGAUAACUGUCCGAAAGGAUAGCUAAUACCCUAUAAUGUCCUUUGUCACAAAGGCAAAGGAUGAAAGCGAGGCUGUCAAAGGCUUCGGCUCAAAGAGGGGUUCGCGUCCUAUCAGGUAGUUGGUGGGGUAAUGGCCUACCAAGCCAAUGACGGGUAGCUGGUCUUAGAGGAUGAUCAGCCACAGUGGGACUGAGACACGGCCCGCACCCCUACGGGGGGCAGCAGUGGGGAAUCGUGGGCAAUGGACGAAAGUCUGACCCCGCAAUGCCGCGUGAGGGAAGAAGCCCUUCGGGGUGUAAACCUCUGUCAGAUGGGAAGAUGGGACCAAGAGCUAAUACCUCUUGGUCUUGACGGUACCAUCAGAGGAAGGGACGGCUAACUACGUGCCAGCAGCCGCGGUAAUACGUAGGUCCCGAGCGUUGCGCGAUGUUACUGGGCGUAAAGCGUCCGUAGCUGGUUUCGUAAGCGGAUUGUCCAAAACCCGAAGCUCAACUUCGGCAAGGCAUUCCCGAACUGCGUUACUUGAGUCCUGUUCAGGUAGGCGGAAUUCCCCGGUGUAGCGGUGACAUGCGUAGAUAUCGGGAGGAACACCAGUGGCGAAGGCGGCCUACUGGGACGGUACUGACGGUCAUGGACGAAAGCUGGGUGAGCAAACCGGAUUAGAUACCCCGGGUAGUCCCAGCCGUAAACGAUGGAUGUUAGGUGUAGUGAUAACUUCGCUGCACCCCAGCUAACGCGUUAAACAUCCCGCCUGGGGAGUACGGGCGCAAGCCUGAAACUCAAAGGAAUUGGCGGGGGCCCGCACAACCGGUGGAGCGUCUGGUUUAAUUCGAUGCUAACCGAAAAACCUUACCAG
rnacentral:rRNA from 1 species